CGGCCACAAGACAUUGAAACACCAGUUCCCAUACAAUCACUGAAGUUAAGCAACAUCGAGCCUGGUCAGUACCUCUAUGGGUGACCAUUUGUGAAUACCAGUGACUGU